rnacentral:rRNA from 1 species
GACGAACGCUGGCGGCGUGCUUAACACAUGCAAGUCGAACGAAGUGGCGAACGGGUGAGUAACGCGUAAUCAACCUGCCCUUCAGAGGGGGACAACAGUUGGAAACGACUGCUAAUACCGCAUACUGAAGGAGGUGAUUGCGUCUGAUUAGCUGGGUGGGGGGGGAACGGCCCACCAGGGCGAUGAUCAGUAGCCGGGCUGGGAGGAUGAACGGCCACAGUGGGACUGAGACACGGCCCAGACUCCUACGGGAGGGAGCAGGGGGGAAUCUUCCGCAAUGGACGAAAGUCUGACGGAGCAACGCCGCGUGAGUGAUGACGGGCUUCGGGUUGUAAAGCUCUGUUAAUCGGGACGCGGUACCGAAAUAGAAAGCCACGGCUAACUACGUGCCAGCAGCCGCGUAAUAC